rnacentral:rRNA from 1 species
AGUAACGCGUGGGUAACCGUGCCUCGCACAGGGGGAUAGCAGUUGGAAACGACUGAUAAUACCGCAUAAGCGCACAGUACCGCAUGGUACAGUGUGAAAAACUCCGGUGGUGUGAGAUGGACCCGCGUCUGAUUAGCUUGUUGGCGGGGUAACGGCCCACCAAGGCAACGAUCAGUAGCCGACCUGAGAGGGUGACCGGCCACAUUGGGACUGAGACACGGCCCAG